AUGAAUCUUCCUGACUCUAUACAUAUAUUGCGCCAUCUAGCUGACCCAAUAAGGGCAAUUAGAUGGCACAAUGGAUGGAGUACCAGGUCUAGAGUCAGGAGAAUUCACCUUCCAAAAUUGAAAUCUGGUCUGAGACACUCGCUGUGUUACUCUGGGGGGCUAAUAAUAAAGCACACCACCUACCCAAGGCCUGGGAGAGGAACGAUGGAAUCAAGAUACAGAAUGAAACCUUUUUUAAAAUUAACAAUAUGGAAAUGUGUUUUGACUGACUAAAGCAUAUUUGUCAUGAAGAGUUUUAGUUUUCUCUCAUUUUGAAAGUAAAGAGGAUAUGAGAGAAAGAAAUAAAAUUUUGGUUUUUUUGGAAAAAAAAUUUAAA
rnacentral:lncRNA from 1 species